ACCUAGGGUGGCGAGCGGCGGACUGGUGAGUAAUGCAUAAGAAUCUACCUAAUAGACUGGGAUAGCCCUUGGAAACAAGGAUUAAUACCGGAUAUGUCCAUGGAUGAAAGCGGCGUUUGCCGCACUAUUAGAUGAGCUUGUGUCCUAUUAGCUUGUUGGCGGGGUAAAUGCCCACCAAGGCAAUGAUAGGUAUCCGACCUGAGAGGGUGAUCGGACACAUCGGGACUGAGAUACGGCCCGGACUUCUACGGAAGGCAGCAGUUAAGAAUAUUCCGCAAUGGGCGAAAGCCUGACGGAGCAAUCUCGCGUGGAGGAUGAAGGCCCUUGGGUUGUAAACUCCUUUUGGCAGGGAAGAAUAAGGCAAUAGGAAAUGAUUGUUGAUGACGGUACCUGCAGAAAAAGCACCGACUAACUACGUGCCAGCAGUCGCGGUAAUACGUAGGGUGCAAACGUUGCUCGGAAUCACUGGGCGUAAAGGGUACGUAGGCGGCUUUGCAAGUCGGCGGUUAAAAAUUGGGGCUUAACUCCAAAGGUGCCGUCGAAACUGCUUAGCUAGAGUUGCAUAUAUGGGUGACAGGAAUUCCUAGUGUAGGAGUGAUAUCUGUAGAUAUUAGGAGGAACACCAAUGGCAAGGCAAGUCACUGAGUAGCAACUGACGCUGAGGUACGAAAGCUAGGGGAGCGAAUGGGAUUAGAGACCCCAGUAGUCCUAGCCGUAAACGAUGCAGACUAGCUUUAUGGAUUCUUUUCAUAAAGCGUAGCU
rnacentral:rRNA from 1 species